GUCCAAGUAAUUUAACCAAAAUACUGGCCUUGUAAGCCAGCUAUGAAGGUAAAAUCCUUCCUAGGACC
rnacentral:tRNA from 1 species